rnacentral:sRNA from 1 species
CUUGUGAGACGGUAGGAUGCUAACGGCGUUAAAUUUU